rnacentral:rRNA from 1 species
UACAGAGGUCUCGAGCGUUAGGCGGGAUCACUGGGCUUAAAGCGUGUGUAGGCGGAUCGGUAAGUACCUUGUGAAAUCCCACAGCUUAACUGUGGAACUGCUUGGUAUACUGCCAGUCUUGAGCCAGCUAGGGGCUACCGGAACAAAUGGUGGAGCGGUGAAAUGCGUAGAUAUCAUUUGGAACGCCAAUGGUGAAAACAGGUAGCUGGGGCUGUGCUGACGCUGAGACACGAAAGCCAGGGGAGCGAACGGG